rnacentral:rRNA from 1 species
UAGGAUUAGAUACCCUGUUACACUUUGUUUAAAAUUAAUAUACCUGGGUAUUAAACAGUUAUUGGCUUGAAACUCAAAGGAUUUGGCGGUAGUUUAGUCUAUUUAGAGGAACCUGUUCUGUAAUCGAUAGUCCACGAAAAAUCUUACUUUAUCUUGUAUUAUGUCAGUUUGUAUACCGUUAUUAUUAGAUAACUUUAAUAAAAUAUUUAGUUAUUGAAAUAGUUUUUAUUUAAUAUAUUAGAUCAAGGUGCAGCUUAUGGUAAAGGAGAAAUGGGUUACAAUAAUAUAAGUAGUUAUAAUGGAUUGAAAAAAGAACUUUUUUUAUGAAAGUGGAUUUAAUAGUAAGAAAGUUUUAAUAAGGCUUUUUGAUUGUAGCUCUAAGCUAUGUACACAUCGCCCGUCG